ensembl:processed_transcript Snhg1 small nucleolar RNA host gene 1
AUCAAACUAGCUCACUAUGACUGCUAAUGAAAACACAGGAACACCUGAGAAACCAAAGGGUAGUGUGGGGGCAAGGGCCUUAUAUCCAGCCUUUUCAAGGUUUGUUAUUUUUCUCCAGGUUCUGUUAGCAGUGCCAUACUUGUGGGUUUACAGAGAUGGUGUGUCUGGCUGAGAACAAAGGAGCCGUACCAGGGAAGUUGAAGCCUAUCUUCAUUUUCAAGUGCAGGCUAAAAUAAGGUCUGAGGAAAAGAAUGAGCAGCGUGUGAAGGAUAGGAACAGAAAUCAUGGAAGAUCUGUUUGUCCAGGCCAGUGUUUCACCAUAAGAGAUCACUUUAAAAUAAAUGAGAUGAAAUAAUUCUUUGCAAUUGCAAAUUUACCUUCCUUGCUUACCACAUUGUUAACUGUAGGGACUGAUAAUCUGGUUCUUCCACUAUUAACUUGUACUCUGUGUUCUAGCAAUAAAUGCUCUUUAUGCUA